rnacentral:lncRNA from 1 species
UUGCACAAAUGCCAAAUUUCGUAAUGGAUUUGUAUUCCCCUUGAGCGAAGUGAUACGUAUUUGUUUUGGAGGUUACAGAUGGAGAACCUUCUUCAGAUUCACGAUAUAAUGAAGUUGAUUACUGAGUCGUUGGUUAUUCCACCAGAGAAAGUCACGGUUCCCUCAAUCCGGUAUUCAAAGUCUGACGUCAAAAAAACUGGAUUGUUAUAGGCUGGAUCCAGGCUGCGGUUGGCUCGCAGAUGUUUUCUUUGAUAUUGAAUCACAAGACUGCAUUAGAGUGUUGGAAGGCGUUGGAGCUACAUUUUUCUCCACGCAAGAUGGUUCACUCACAAACAAUUCGAGAUGAACUGUGUCAUCUGAAGAAAUUGGACAGCGAAACUAUGGGUGAAUUCAUCAUCAAAGUUCGAGAAUUGAUCAAUGGCUUAGCAGCUUCUGGUGAUCAAUUAUCUGACAGGGACAAGAUCGAUUUUGUGGUUGAUGGUCUUUAGCUAGUGUAGAUUUUCGCCCCUUUCUGUCAUGUAUUCACUCAUAACCAAAUAUGGUAUUUGAUGAAUCACCAACAUCAUUCGCAGCAAAAAGAACAAGAAUUACAAUAACCGCAACUCUGAUCAUCAUCAUGAAGAAUCAAAUUACAAAAAUGAAAAUUCAACAACAAAGAUUCAAAUAAAGGGAGAUGGAGAAAUUCAACCAUAUAUAGUUUGCCAGAUUUGUGAAACUCCAGAACAUGGAGCAAGAACUUGUAGGAAGACAGAGAAAGUAAUGGCAACCAUGGAAGAUGAAUGCAAAGAUAGUAACCGGCUGUUAGACUCUGAAGCCUCCUCACACACGACUUCUGAUGACUUCUGAGAUCGACAAUUUAUCAGAUGCUCAGGAGUACUCAGAUAACAAGUUUAAACUAUAUAAGGAAUGUCGACCUUAGCUUGCCAAUUUCCCAUAUUGGUACUGCCGUUAUCAAAACUGAUAAUGGCACAAUCCCACUCAAGAACACAUUG